rnacentral:rRNA from 1 species
GACGAACGCUGGCGGCGUGCUUAACACAUGCAAGUCGAACGGAAAGGCCCCUUUGGGGGUACUCGAGUGGCGAACGGGUGAGUAACACGUGAGUAACCUGCCCUUGACUUCGGGAUAACUUCAGGAAACUGGGGCUAAUACCGGAUAGGAAUCCUUGCUGCAUGGUGGGGGUUGGAAAGCUUCGGCGGUUUUGGAUGGACUCGCGGCUUAUCAGCUGGUUGGUGGGGUAGUGGCUUACCAAGGCUUUGACGGGUAGCCGGCCUGCGAGGGCGACCGGCCACAUUGGGACUGAGAUACGGCCCAGACUCCUACGGGAGGCAGCAGUGGGGAAUAUUGCACAAUGGGCGGAAGCCUGAUGCAGCAACGCCGCGUGCGGGAUGACGGCCUUCGGGUUGUAAACCGCUUUCAGCAGGGGCGAAGCUUGUGGUGACGGUACCUGCAGAAGAAGCACCGGCUAACUACGUG